UAGAUAAAUUCUGUGAAAUUCAGUCAGGCUUCUUGUCAAGGUUUUCAUACUGCGCAAUAAAUACGUUGAUCGAACCCUGGGUACACUGCGUAUGCGUGCAAUUCGCAUUGGCGGUGUUCAAAAACAGAAGUUGACAUGCUACCCUGAGAAGACAAAGUUUAUUUACGUUUACGUCGAUAACUCAGCAGGAUCCAUCAGUCUGGAUGUUUUUCUUUUGUUUUUCUUCCAGAGAUUGAUAAAAGAUUCAACAUGUCGAUACUGAGAUCGGUCGCCCCUGUGUUGGGCAGAAUGUUCCAACGAACGGUACACACUGGCACUCUGCUGGCCAAUCCAAGCUUCAGCUCAGUACAGCACAGCCAACUGGGAGGGACUGGCAUCUCAAAAUGCCUGACUUGCUCACAAGGUUCCGUCCUCCGUAGUCUGCUGUUAAGGGCACCAUUGCCCCUGGUCCAGAUGACAAACUCUUUCAAGACCAAAUCAUCCGUGAAGCGGCGGUGCAAGGACUGCUAUUUCGUCAGGAGGAAGGGCCGCCUGUUUGUCAUAUGCAAGACCCAUCCGCGCC